AACGAACGCUGGCGGCGUGGCUUAGGCAUGCAAGUCGGACGAGGUGGGGCAACCCAUCUAGUGGCGAAAGGGUGAGCAAUGCAUCGAGAUCUACCUCCAGGACGGGGACAACAGUUGGAAACGGCUGCUAAUACCCGAUGGUCCAGAAAUGGUAAACGGCGGGGACCGCAAGGCCUGUCACCAGGAGAGGAAUCGAUGUCCCAUCAGCUAGUUGGUGAGGUAAGGCUUACCAAGGCGAAGACGGGUAGCCGGACUGAGAGGUUGUUCGGCCACACUGGCACUGAGACACUGGCCAGACUCCUACGGGAGGCUGCAGUCGCGAAUUUUCCGCAAUGGGCGCAAGCCUGACGGAGCGACGCCGCGUGCAGGAUGAAGGCCCUCGGGUUGUAAACUGCUGUCACACGUUAUGAAAAACAUGAGCUAAUAUCUCAUGUCUUGACAAAGGCGUGGGAGGAAGCCACGGCUAAC
rnacentral:rRNA from 1 species